rnacentral:rRNA from 1 species
UUGACCUCAAAUCAGGUAGGACUACCCGCUGAACUUAAGCAUAUCAAUAAGCGGAGGAAAAGAAACUAACAAGGAUUCCCCUAGUAACUGCGAGUGAAGCGGGAUAAGCUCAAAUUUGAAAUCUGGCAGUCUUUUUUUUCUUCUUUGGCUGUCCGAGUUGUAAUCUAGAGAAGUGCUACCUGCACUGGACCG